AGUCACUGACAUUAGAUACCCGUGUAGUCCAGGGUGUAAACGCUGCAGACUUGGUGUUGGAGGCCCUUUGGGGGCAUUCAGUGCCGGAGAGAAGUUGUUAAGUCUGCUACUUGGGGAGUACGUCCGCAAGGAUGAAACUUAAAGGAAUUGGCGGGGGAGCACCGCAACGGGAGGAGCGUGCGGUUUAAUUGGAUUCAACACCGUAAAACUCACCAGGGAAGACUGUUACAUGAAGGCCGAGAUGAAGACUCUGCUAGAUUUUCAG
rnacentral:rRNA from 1 species